AUGUUAAUUAAUGAUGAUUUAGUUUUGUUUUGUGGAGUUACAUAAGAGGCACAUGAGACUAUUAUGAGUUAUAUAAAUCAACUGUCGAACAAAGCUUCCUCUAUAGAUUUCACAAAUCAAGCUACCAGUAAACCCAUCCCACAAAUCAAGUUCUCAUUUAUUGCAAAGAAAAAACAAUGCAAAUAGAAUUUGUACAAUAGUUUCCUGUCGAACCAGAAAACAAGAUAAUGACAGAAGCAUCACUCCAUGUAUUUGCUGACAUUGCUGUGGCCUAGAAAAUUUACAAACGCCGGAUCAUAACAAUUAAUAGAUCAUAGAUGUCACAGUUUCACAUAUUCCAUCAGACCAGUGAAGUCAAACCGGUUUUGAGUUCUUACCUGAAUUGUUCUUCAGACCAGAAACCAAAAGGAAGCAGUGGGUCGUUCGGCUUGGUAUCAGCAGUUAAUGGCAAUUGGAAUUGGUCAACUUCCCCUCAAAUUCAUAAUCUCCACAGGAAGCCAAGAAGAGCCUCAGUCUUUUCAAGAACAAAGUAACCAUAGGCCUUUCUCAGGAUCUACAUCCAGAUUGUGCCCUUGUACCUUUGGUUCCCUGUUAUCAUAUGUCGUUUGCCAAAGAUAUGAGUUGUCCA
rnacentral:lncRNA from 1 species